UUUUUAUGGAGAGUUUGAUCCUGGCUCAGGAUGAACGCUGGCGGCGUGCCUAAUACAUGCAAGUCGAGCGAACAGACGAGGAGCUUGCUCCUCUGACGUUAGCGGCGGACGGGUGAGUAACACGUGGAUAACCUACCUAUAAGACUGGGAUAACUUCGGGAAACCGGAGCUAAUACCGGAUAAUAUAUUGAACCGCAUGGUUCAAUAGUGAAAGACGGUUUUGCUGUCACUUAUAGAUGGAUCCGCGCCGCAUUAGCUAGUUGGUAAGGUAACGGCUUACCAAGGCAACGAUGCGUAGCCGACCUGAGAGGGUG
rnacentral:rRNA from 1 species